rnacentral:rRNA from 1 species
UACGGAGGGGGCUAGCGUUGUUCGGAAUUACUGGGCGUAAAGCGCACGUAGGCGGCUUUGCAAGUUAGAGGUGAAAGCCCAGGGCUUAACCCUGGAAUUGCCUUUAAAACUGCAUCGCUAGAAUUGUGGAGAGGUAAGUGGAAUUCCGAGUGUAGAGGUGAAAUUCGUAGAUAUUCGGAAGAACACCGGUGGCGAAGGCGGCUAUCUGGACCGUAACUGACGCUGAGGCGCGAAAGCGUGGGGAGCAAACAGG